rnacentral:lncRNA from 1 species
CCACCCCAAACCACCGCAUCACAAGCCACCCCAUGUCAAACCACCGCACAAGCCCCCGUAUGUUCCUAAACCACCUUAUUCCCCAAGCCCUAAACCGCCUUACGUGCCAAAACCACCUCAUACUCCAGUCCCUAGGCCACCAUAUUUCCCCAAACCACCUUACACACCAAGGCCUAAGCCACCAUAUGCGCCAAAACCACCUUAUACGCCAACCCCUAAGCCACCAUAUUUCCCCAAACCACCUUACACACCAAGGCCGAAGCCACCAUAUGUGCCAAAACCACCUUAUACGCCAGCCCCUAAGCCACCAUAUUUUCCCAAACCACCUUACACACCAAGGCCUAAGCCACCAUAUGCACCAAAACCACCUUAUACGCCAACACCUAAGCCACCAUAUUUCCCCAAACCACCUUACACACCAAGGCCUAAGCCACCGUACGUGCCAAAACCACCGUACACACCAAGGCCUAAGCCACCGUACGUGCCAAAACCACCAUACACACCAACCCCUAAGCCACCGUACGUGCCAAAACCACCUUACACCCCAACCCCUAAGCCACCGUACGUGCCAAAACCACCGUAUACCCCAACUCCUAAGCCACCGUACGUCCCAUCGCCACCUUAUACCCCUCGCCCUAAACCACCGUAUGUACCAUCACCAC